CAAAAAGUAGUUUAAAAAAAACACUAGCCUUGGGAGCUAGCAUUCAAAAUACUUUGCUUUUUGA
rnacentral:tRNA from 1 species